UUAGAGUUUGAUCCUGGCUCAGGACGAACGCUGGCGGCGUGCCUAACACAUGCAAGUCGAGCGAAUGAAGUUCCUUCGGGAACGGAUUUAGCGGCGGACGGGUGAGUAACACGUGGGCAACCUGCCUCAUAGAGGGGAAUAGCCUUCCGAAAGGGAGAUUAAUACCGCAUAAGAUUGUAGUACCGCAUGGUACAGCAAUUAAAGGAGCAAUCCGCUAUGAGAUGGGCCCGCGGCGCAUUAGCUAGUUGGUGAGGUAACGGCUCACCAAGGCGACGAUGCGUAGCCGACCUGAGAGGGUGAUCGGCCACAUUGGGACUGAGACACGGCCCAGACUCCUACGGGAGGCAGCAGUGGGGAAUAUUGCACAAUGGGGGAAACCCUGAUGCAGCAACGCCGCGUGAGUGAUGACGGCCUUCGGGUUGUAAAGCUCUGUCUUCAGGGACGAUAAUGACGGUACCUGAGGAGGAAGCCACGGCUAACUACGUGCCAGCAGCCGCGGUAAUACGUAGGUGGCGAGCGUUGUCCGGAUUUACUGGGCGUAAAGGGAGCGUAGGCGGAUUUUUAAGUGAGAUGUGAAAUACUCAGGCUUAACCUGAGUGCUGCAUUUCAAACUGGAAGUCUAGAGUGCAGGAGAGGAGAAGGGAAUUCCUAGUGUAGCGGUGAAAUGCGUAAAGAUUAAGAAGAACACCAGUGGCGAAGGCCCUUCUCUGGACUGUAACUGACGCUGAAGCUCAAAAGCGUGGGGAGCAAACAGGAAUAAAUACCCCUGGUACUCCCCCCCCGAAAACAAGAAAAACUAGGGGGAGGGGGGUGGCCUGAACCCUCUGGGCCCCCCCCCAA
rnacentral:rRNA from 1 species